UUGAGCUACAAAAAUAGAAUACCUCCUUCUCCUUCUCCUUCUCAAAUCCCAAUUCCCAUGGUAGAAGCUGAAAAAGGAUUCCGGAUUUACUUGGAUUCGCUUUGGGCUUAUCCAUGCUUUAUCGAAAAAAAUUCCAAGCAUCAGCUCUUAUAUUCUUGUAUCUUGCUCUGGAGCUUGCCACUGCCUAUGCCUUCAUCAUUGGAAUCGGUGGUCUCGGAAGAGUGCAAGUUUUAAUUCAUGGUUAUUUGAGGGCCGAAGGGUUUGUGGAGGCUGCAAUACAAUUUUUUCAAGAAUUAGGCAUGAACGUGGAGCUACAAGACAUUGGAUCUAGGAAAAUAAUCAUAAUAUGGCUUUGGGCAUAUGACUUUCGGAUGGUUGCAACCCCUAUUAAAUGUAUCUUUUUCAAGGUGUUGUUGAAGGUCAAUCCCAACAUGAGAUUGAGAUUUCGGCUCAUGAUAUGGAUGAGUUGUUAGUCUGCUCCAUAUAUUCCACUUUAUCCUUGAAUGUCUGUAUUGUGAAAGUAGUCAUGUUGAUAUUGUUUCCCUCACUUAAUGGUCUUAAUAAGGACAUGGUUUGGGAUGUUUUUUUUUUUUUGACUUAAUAGGCUUAAUGGGUCAAGCACUUAAUCUAGACAACUUUACAUGAUGUUUUAUUUUGACUUAAUAUUGAUAGAA